rnacentral:rRNA from 1 species
GACGGGGGGUCCUAGCGUUGUUCGGAAUUAUUGGGCGUAAAGCGUGUGCAGGUUGUUUGAAAAGUUAGAUGUGAAAUCCUUGGGCUUAACCCAAGACGUGUAUUUAAAACUGCCAAACUUGAGUAUGGAAGAGGAUCGUGGAAUUCCUAGUGUAGUGGUGAAAUACGUAGAUAUUAGGAGGAACACCGGUGGCGAAGGCGGCGAUCUGGUCCAAUACUGACACUCAUACACGAAAGCGUGGGGAUCAAACAGG